GAUGAGGUAUGAAAGCAGAGACCACCGUCUGCGGAGGCAUGAUUAUUCUAUUGUUCCUUUUAACGAGUAAUCGUUUUACUCGAAUCCUCUUACUAAACCCAACCUCGUUAAGACGUCCGCCACUUCAACUUCUAUCUACAAGUGGCAAAAACUGAAGCUGACCUUCUUCAUGGAGAAACAUGCCGGAAAUGGCAUCCGCACGUGUGAAUAAUUAUACUCAGUGUCCAGCACCCGAUCUUCUGGUUGACGUCGUUAAGAAAGAGGAACGAGUGCACAGGAAGCAUGGUCGGCGUGAGCAUGAUUAGAUCCGGUCUGCCCGAUGACCUUGCCAGUGAUAAUAGCGGUUCGUUAAGGUGGUUGCAGUCUUGGUUUGCUUCUGUUUCGAUUUCCAGCGAACUCGUCAGCCGGCAUGGCUUCCGAGAUGCUCCCCCUGAAACAAGUCGAAGGGAAAUAAUUAAUGGACUCUCUGUUCGAUUACGGAACCAAAGAUUCUUAUCUGGUUUAUGGUGAGCUAAGGAACUCUUUGAAAACAGCAUUUAUAACUUUCGAAAAAGAGACAGAUACUGAGUAUUUCUUGCGCGAGCAAUUGAAUAAUUAAUUCGUUUUCUAAAUAUCCUUAUUUAUUGUUUCUAAAAUACGUAAUGAUUGGAAGCUUCUUACGGGAAGCGCAAUUAGCCGCUAAUAUCAUUGAAGUCGAACCGCCAUUAAAACCAUAUUACGAUUCGCAUGCGACAUGCUCCAUUCAUGAAAACACAAAAGCGAUAAACAAGUACAAAUCAACGAAAUAAAUCCUCCGAGAACGAGACGUUACAGAAAUUAUACCACUGCGGGGAUACAAAAGACUUGCUCAUGAGCUACUUCCUUCAAGUAGUCGAGCGGUGUAUUUUCCGGUCGUUAAGUUCCAUAUAAUGGGAUAUUAAAGAGUACGGACACAACACUGCUAUUUUUCAACUGUUCAUUAUCAAAUUACGCAGCGGGAAUCGUUGCAACGACAAAAUUGUAACGACUCGUACCUGCGUAUCUCCCAUUUAGCUGCGGUAAAAGCUGAUUUGUCUGCGUUUUUUUUUCACUUCCUCGUUACGGAAACCAGGAAAAGUGAUUCACGAUACAGUUUCUAACUGUACUUCUCGCGAUUCUUUCUUAGAAACAAGCAAUUUCUUCUUUUCAAUUUCCUAAACCUAUAAUAAAGCAGUCCAUUUCUUGAACAGAAAUUAACUUUAAAACUUUAGGCGCAUACAUUGUACGUAUCGUGUGUAUGUAUUUUGAUUUGAAAAGAAACGCGGCAAACGCCUUUGAAAAGACGUUAGGUUUUCAACACCUUAACUAACUUAAUUCCAGCGAGUCGUAAAUCUGCUGCAUCUCCAACAUCUGAAUAUCCAUCUUUUACAAUGACUUGUUCUCCAAUUUAUUAAAAUUACAUCUCUCCCGUUGCACCGACCUUCUUUAAAGGUUCCCGCGGCAGGUUGAACCCGCAUCACGUAUCUUCCCUCUUCUUUCCACCCCCUGUUCCUUUUCUCUUUCUAUCGGACGGGAAGAGCGGGAACGCUUAAAACGCGCGAAUCACGCGAGCGCCUCACGAUUUGCGAAACAUCACGUGAAAAUCACCGAUCCGAUCUCCGUGCGCGCGGUGCACUGUGGGGGUAACGAUUAAAUCGACAGGAUAUACUUUAUUGGCUAUUCCGUUAUUACAGGCUGUAGCUGGCGGGGAAAUAGUCAUUAUGGAUCGAUGAACUCCAUUGUAACAACGCACCUUCGAAUUGCAUCGGAAAC